GUUGCUUGCAAGGGCGUAUGGUGGAUGCCUUGGCAGACAGGACCGAUGAAGGACGUUGCAGGCUGCGAUAAGCCUCGGGGAGCCGCCAAGCGGGCUUUGAUCCGAGGGUGUCCGAAUGGGGAAACCCACCGGCCGUCAUGGGCCGGUACCGCACUUGUGCGGGGGGUACGCAGGGAAGUGAAACAUCUCAGUACCUGCAGGAAAGGAUACUCCGUGAGUAGUGGCGAGCGAAAGCGGAUGAGGCCAAACCUUGAGCGUGUGAUACCCGUCGGGGGUUGCGCUCGGGGUGUUGUGGGAUGCGUGUCCCGUCGCCGACGCGGCGGGCGGAAGUGACAAAGCUCUGGUUGAGGCGAACCGGAUUGAAGGCCGGGCCGCAGCGGGUGCCAGCCCCUUAGCCGAAGGACCAGGGCCUUCCGAUCGUUGUUCCCAAGUAGCGCGGGCCUCGUGGAAUCCCGCGUGAAUCUGCCCGGACCGUCGGGUAAGCCUAAGUAUUCCUGUCUGACCGAUAGCGUACUAGUACCGUGAGGGAAAGGUGAAAAGCACCCCGGGAGGGGAGUGAAAGAGUUCCUGAAACCGUGCGCCUACGAUCCGUCGGAGCCUUUCGGGGUGACGGCGUGCCUAUCGAAAAAUGAGUCUGCGAGUCAGUGGCAUGUGGCGAGCGUAACCCGUGUGGGGUACGCGUAGCGAAGGCGAGUCUUAAAAGGCGUUGAGUCGCGUGUCCUGGACCCGAAGCGGGAUGAUCUAGCCCUGAGCAGGUUGAAGCGCGGGUAAGACCGCGUGGAGGACCGGACCCACCUGGGUUGAAAACCGGGGGGAUGACUUGGGGUUAGGGGUGAAAGGCCAAUCAAAUUCCGUGAUAGCUGGUUCUCUCCGAAAUGCAUUUAGGUGCAGCGUCGGUUGAUUACAUCCGGGGGGUAGAGCUACUGGAUGCUUGCGGGCCCGUAUCGGGUACCAACAGCAGCCAAACUCCGAAUACCCGUGGUGCGUAUUCCGGCAGUGAGUCGGCGGGGGAUAAGCUCCGUCGUCGAAAGGGAAACAGCCCAGAUCGUCGUCUAAGGUCCCCAAGCGCGUGCUAAGUGGGAAAGGAUGUGGAGUCGCAUAGACAGCCAGGAGGUUGGCUCAGAAGCAGCCAUCCUUGAAAGAGUGCGUAACAGCUCACUGGUCUAGUGGUUCCGCGCCGACAAUGUAGCGGGGCUCAAGCACGCCACCGAAGACGCGGCAGUACGUUUUGUGCUGGGUAGGAGAGCGUCCCGUGCGGGGCGAAGCGGGCGUGUAAACGUCCGUGGACUGCAGGGGAGUGAGAAUGCAGACAUGAGUAGCGAGAGGCGGGUGCGAAUCCCGCCCGCUGGAUGACCAAGGGUUCCGGGGCCACGUUCGUCGUCCCCGGGUGAGUCGGGUCCUAAGGCGAGGCCGACAGGCGUAGUCGAAUGGAUGAACGGGUUGAUAUUCCCGUACCGGCAUCGAACCGACAAAACCGAGCCGAUGAGUACUAACCUCCGGUUCGUGGUGAUCCUUCCUUCGGGUUGGUGAUCCGCGUGCUGUUGGGAGCGUAGUCGUAGUAGGUCAGCGCAGGAGUGACACGGACGGGUAGCCGGCCGCGGAGGUGGUUUUCCGUGGUCAAGCGUGCGGCCCGCUCCCCAGGCAAAUCCGGGGGGCGUGAGGGCGAGGCGCGAUGAUGGGGCCUUANNNNNNNNNNNNNNNNNNNNNNNNNNNNNNNNNNNNNNNNNNNNNNNNNNNNNNNNNNNNNNNNNNNNNNNNNNNNNNNNNNNNNNNNNNNNNNUGUGGUGAAGCGGUGAAUUCAAGCCCCGGUAAACGGCGGUGGUAACUAUAACCAUCCUAAGGUAGCGAAAUUCCUUGUCGGGUAAGUUCCGACCUGCACGAAUGGCGUAACGACUUCCCCACUGUCUCGACCAGGAGCUCGGCGAAAUUGCAGUACGAGUAAAGAUGCUCGUUAAGCGCAGAAGGACGAAAAGACCCCGGGACCUUUACUAUACCUUGGUAUUGGCGUUAGGCGCGGAUUGUGUAGCAUAGGCGGGAGACUUCGAAGCCCAGGCGCCAGCUUGGGUGGAGUCGCAAGGUGAAAUACCGCUCUGUUCUCGUUUGACGUCUAACCACGAGCAGUCAUCCUGCUCUGGGACAGUGCCUGGCGGGUAGUUUAACUGGGGCGGUUGCCUCCCAAAGAGUAACGGAGGCGCUCAAAGGUCCGCUCAGCCCGGUUGGCAAUCGGGUGUCGAGUGCAAUCGCACAAGCGGGCUUGACUGUGAGAACGACGGUUCGAGCAGGGACGAAAGUCGGAGAUAGUGAUCCGGUGCCGGCGCACGGGCGCGGCAUCGCUCAACGGAUAAAAGGUACCCCGGGGAUAACAGGCUGAUCAUUCCCAAGAGUCCAUAUCGACGGGAUGGUUUGGCACCUCGAUGUCGGCUCGUCGCAUCCUGGGGCUGGAGCAGGUCCCAAGGGUUCGGCUGUUCGCCGAUUAAAGCGGCACGCGAGCUGGGUUCAGAACGUCGUGAGACAGUUUGGUCUCUAUCCUCUGCGCUCGUUGGAAUCUUGAGGAGGCCUGCCCAUAGUACGAGAGGACCUGGGUGGACGAACCUCUGGUAUGCCGGUCGUCACGCCAGUGGCGUGGCCGGUUGGCUACGUUCGGAAGGGAUAACCGCUGAAAGCAUCUAAGCGGGAAGCCCGCUCCAAGAUAAGGAUUCCGUGGAGGCUUGACCUCCUGUACCCCCCAUGCAGAACACGUGGUUGAUAGGCCGGACGUGGAAGCCGCGCAAGCGGUGGAGCCGACCGGUACUAACGGGGGAGAGGCA
rnacentral:rRNA from 1 species